rnacentral:rRNA from 1 species
GACGAACCGUCCGAACGUUAUUCGGAAUCACUGGGCUUACAGAGUUCGUAGGCGGUUCGGUAAGUUAGAUGUGAAAUCCCUUGGCUUAACCAAGGAACUGCGUUUGAAACUACCGGACUCGAGGGAGAUAGAGGAAAGCGGAACUGAUGGUGGAGCGGUGAAAUGCGUUGAUAUCAUCAGGAACACCGGUGGCGAAGGCGGCUUUCUGGGUCUCUUCUGACGCUGAGGAACGAAAGCUAGGGGAGCGAACGGG